rnacentral:rRNA from 1 species
ACAGGGAUUGCCUUAGUAACGGCGAGUGAAGCGGCAACAGCUCAAAUUUGAAAUCUGGCCCUUGGGUCCGAAUUGUAAUUUGUAGAGGAUGAUUUUGGUGCGGUAUCUUCCGAGUUCCUUGGAACAGGACGCCUUAGAGGGUGAGAGCCCCGUACGGUUGAAUGCCUAGCCUCUGUAAAUCUCCUUCGACGAGUCGAGUAGUUUGGGAAUGCUGCUCUAAAUGGGAGGUAAAUUUCUUCUAAAGCUAAAUAUUGGCCAGAGACCGAUAGCGCACAAGUAGAGUGAUCGAAAGAUGAAAAGCACUUUGAAAAGAGGGUUAAAUAGCACGUGAAAUUGUUGAAAGGGAAGGAUUUGUGACCAGACUUUUUCUGGGCGGAUCAUCCGGGGUUCUCUCCGGUGCACUUUGCCCAGUAAAGGCCAGCAUCGGUUUUCGGCGGGGGAUAAAAGCAGUAGGAAUGUGGCUCUCUACGGGGAGUGUUAUAGCCUAUUGUAUAAUACCCUGCUGGGGACCGAGGUACGCGCUUCUGCAAGGAUGCUGGCGUAAUGGUUAUCAAUCACCCGUCUUGAAACACGGACCAAGGAGUCGAACAUUUGUGCAAGUGUUUGGGUGUUAAACCCUCACGCGUAAUGAAAGUGAACGGAGGUGAGAGCCCUUACGGGUGCAUCAUCGACCGAUCCUGAAGUUUUCGGAUGGAUUUGAGUAAGAGCAUAACUGUUCGGACCCGAAAGAUGGUGAACUAUGCGUGGAUAGGGUGAAGCCAGAGGAAACUCUGGUGGAGGCUCGCAGCGGUUCUGACGUGCAAAUCGAUCGUCAAAUCUGCGCAUGGGGGCGAAAGACUAAUCGACCAUCUAGUAGCUGGUUACGCGAUCUCCUC